CGUGCCUACGGGAGGCAGCAGUGAGGAAUAUUGGUCAAUGGGCGGAAGCCUGAACCAGCCAAGUCGCGUGAGGGACUAAGGCCCUACGGGUCGUAAACCUCUUUUGCCGGGGAUCAGUGCCCAGCUCGCGAGCUGGGAGGGAGCGUACCCGGAGAAAAAGCAUCGGCUAACUCCGUGCCAGCAGCCGCGGUAAUACGGAGGAUGCGAGCGUUAUCCGGAUUUAUUGGGUUUAAGGGGUGCGUAGGCGGGCCUUCAGGCCGGCGGUAAAAUUGCGGGG
rnacentral:rRNA from 1 species